rnacentral:rRNA from 1 species
AUGUAUGGGCGCAGCCUGAUCCAGCCAUGCCGCGUGUGUGAAGAAGGCCCUCGGGUUGUAAAGCACUUUCAGUGGGGAAGAAAUCCUCGGGGCUAAUACCCCCGAGGGAGGACAUCACCCACAGAAGAAGCACCGGCUAACUCCGUGCCAGCAGCCGCGGUAAUACGGAGGGUGCGAGCGUUAAUCGGAAUUACUGGGCGUAAAGCGCGCGUAGGCGGCCUGAUAAGCCGGUUGUGAAAGCCCCGGGCUCAACCUGGGAACGGCAUCCGGAACUGUCAGGCUAGAGUGCAGGAGAGGAAGGUAGAAUUCCCGGUGUAGCGGUGAAAUGCGUAGAGAUCGGGAGGAAUACCAGUGGCGAAGGCGGCCUUCUGGACUGACACUGACGCUGAGGUGCGAAAGCGUGGGUAGCAAACAGGAUUAGAUACCCUGGUAGUCCACGCCGUAAACGAUGUCGACUAGCCGUUGGGGUCCUUGAGACCUUUGUGGCGCAGUUAACGCGAUAAGUCGACCGCCUGGGGAGUACGGCCGCAAGGUUAAAACUCAAAUGAAUUGACGGGGGCCCGCACAAGCGGUGGAGCAUGUGGUUUAAUUCGAUGCAACGCGAAGAACCUUACCUACCCUUGACAUCGAGAGAACUUGGCAGAGAUGCCUUGGUGCCUUCGGGAACUCUCAGACAGGUGCUGCAUGGCCGUCGUCAGCUCGUGUUGUGAAAUGUUGGGUUAAGUCCCGUAACGAGCGCACCCCUUGUCCCUAUUUGCCAGCGAUUCGGUCGGGAAUCUAGGGAGACUGCCGGUGACAAACCGGAGGAGGGGGGGACGACGUCAGGUCAUCAUGCCCCUUA